UAGGGAAUCUUCGGCAAUGGACGAAAGUCUGACCGAGCAACGCCGCGUGAGUGAAGAAGGUUUUCGGAUCGUAAAACUCUGUUGUUAGAGAAGAACAAGGACGUUAGUAACUGAACGUCCCCUGACGGUAUCUAACCAGAAAGCCACGGCUAACUACGUGCCAGCAGCCGCGGUAAUACGUAGGUGGCAAGCGUUGUCCGGAUUUAUUGGGCGUAAAGCGAGCGCAGGCGGUUUCUUAAGGCUGAUGUGAAAGCCCCCGGCUCAACCGGGGAGGGUCAUUGGAAACUGGGAGACUUGAGGGCAGAAGAGGAGAGUGGAAUUCCAUGUGUAGCGGUGAAAUGCGUAGAUAUAUGGAGGAACACCAGUGGCGAAGGCGGUUCUCUGGUCUGUAACUGACGCUGAGGCUCGAAAGCGUGGGGAGCGAACAGG
rnacentral:rRNA from 1 species